UACGUAGGGCGCAAGCGUUAUCCGGAAUUAUUGGCGAAGAAGCUCGUAGGCGGUUUGUCGCGUCUGCCGUGAAAGUCCGGGGCUCAACUCCGGAUCUGCGGUGGGUACGGGCAGACUAGAGUGAUGUAGGGGAGACUGGAAUUCCUGGUGUAGCGGUGAAAUGCGCAGAUAUCAGGAGGAACACCGGUGGCGAAGGCGGAUCUCUGGGCCACUACUGACGCUGAGAAGCGAAAGCAUGGGGAGCGAACAGG
rnacentral:rRNA from 1 species